rnacentral:rRNA from 1 species
GACGAACGCUGGCGGCGUGCUUAACACAUGCAAGUCGAACGGUGAAGCGCCUUCCUUUUUGGUGGGUGUGGAUGAGUGGCGAACGGGUGAGUAACACGUGAGUAACCUGCCCCCUUCUUCUGGAUAACCGCAUGAAAGUGUGGCUAAUACGGGAUAUUCUGGGUCUGUCGCAUGAUGGGUCUGGGAAAGAUAUUGUUUCGGUGGGGGAUGGGCUGGCGGCCUAUCAGCUUGUUGGUGGGGUGAUGGCCUACCAAGGCGGUGACGUGUAGGCGGCCUGGGGGGGUGGACGGCCACACUGGGAGUGAGACACGGCCGAGACUCCUACGGGAGGCAGCAGUGGGGAAUAGUGCACAAUGGGCGCAAGCCUGAUGCAGCGGGGCCGCGGGAGGGAUGGAGGCCUGCGGGUUGUGAACCUCUUUCGCCAGUGAAGCAGGCCUGCCUCGUUUGUGGGUGGGUUGACGGUAGCUGGAUAAGAAGCGCCGGCUAACUACGUG